GGCGGGGAGGGGAGGUGGCAGGAACCUGGAAGUGUCAGCGAGCUUCCCAGGGGAUGGCAGGAGCGUGGGAGCGCAGAGUCCCGGGAGGCGACAGAGACUCGGAGAGACGACGAGAUACCAGAGACCCGAGAGAGCCAGAGGCGGAGAUGCAGACGCCAAGACGCGGAGAGACGCGGAAUCAGAGAUGCGGAGGGAGGAGACCACCAACACCAGAGAGACCCAGGGCAGAAGUCGCUGAAGAUCUGGAAAAAACGGGAGAAAAGAAAACUGUACUCGUGCAUUGGCCGGGAAUCGAACCCGGGCCUCCCGCGUGGCAGGCGAGAAUUCUACCACUGAACCACCAAUGCGCGGCUUAAAGAUUCUGCGGGGAUCCUAUCUGAGAUUGUAAGAGGUUGAGGCGGACCCGGACAGGCAACGGUGUAGGCCAGGGAAGUGGUCCCGAAUGGUUGCCGUGGGUGGAGCGCCAAGUCAUCCUUCCUCUCGUCCGGAUCCGGCCACCGGGCCAUAAAGCCGCCCCAUAUGGCCAGGGGCGGCCCCACACCCGGGUGCGAACAGCCGGGGGCCCCC
rnacentral:lncRNA from 1 species